UUUAGUUUAUAGUUGAGCUUAGGUAUGGAAGACGGAAGCGCAUCAAGACAGAGUUCUUCAACUACCUAUGCCACAAUGAUUGUGAAGAUAGCGAUGAUCAUGGCUUGAAAAAACAUCGAAUUGAGUGAGUGGAAUUUAAGAUGACCUCAUCAGAUGUUGUGUAAGAGUAACGGAUUAAGGAAACAAAGUAGCGGGUGUGACAUCCUCCGGGUUCCGUUGAUGAAUUAGUCACUGUUCUUGACGCAAGCCCUACUUUUGAGUUUUGUUUACGGUUCCUGUUUUAGUAUGUUUUCCUUUAGUUUCUCAUAUGACACUGCGCAUUUUUUAGCAAGUCAGUUAGUUGCCAAUCUGUAGCAGAGCUUUUUAAGGCCAUUUGGUAUUUACACCAUUUUCUCCUGUUUAUCAAUCUACAGGUACUAAGGAGGCAUGCUAUGAAUAUUUAUCUGAUAGCCCUUUUGAAUGGUGGCACAAGGGUGCUUGCUUCUUAUUCAUGUGGGAUGGAAGAGUGAGCAAUCUUUUCCUCAAAUGGUUCACAGCAUAUAUAUGGAGGUAGCAAGAAUGGCUUUAUAAAUAUAUGGAUCUACAUGGUGGAGGAUCAUUAGUUGCUUUUCAAAAUUACAAGGAGUGGCAUCAGAUUUUCUCGACACUCCGAUCGGGCAAAUACUGGAGAGGCUGCAAGCACUUGGAAUUUCCUGAACCUAGAACCAUCCAUAUUUAGCCGGCUGUUGCUGAAUUUGUUUAUUAGUCUUUGCAGAUGCUCACGGUACGUUUGAUUUCAUUUAGAUGCUCCGUAGAAUUAUUUGUUCGUAUUAUUGCUUUCAUUAGAUGAAUAAGUGUUGUUUGCAUCACUUUCUUUGACUUUCGAAGGCUUUUCGUUUUGUGUGAUGUGAAUUGGUUAGUUGCUACAGUUUAUGAAAUCUUAUAUUGGUUUCCCCGUAUCUAAUCAAAGAAAAACUAG
rnacentral:lncRNA from 1 species